UUCUCUUUCAUCUUCCGCGUCGGCGUUUCACGUUUUGGUCUUGCUUUCCGGGAGUUCGCCAUCAACAUCGGUUCCGCGAUGGUCAACGGAUUGACGUCCGGCAAGCAGCGUGUGUGCCGAUUGUGCGCGACCGCCCAGUUCGAGCUGGGUCCGAUCUUCGGCGAUCUAGCCGAAAAGAUCUACGACUGCACAACGGUAGAGAUCAGCAACGCGGACGCCCUGAUUUGCCAACAAUGCCGGGCCACGAUUGUUGUGAAUCAUCAUUUCGUCGAGAGUUGCCGGAACGCGAACCAAAAGUUCCACCGGAUGUUUGGCCCGCUGGUCCGGCAGCACAUCCGCACGAGCGUUGCUGGUUUCAGCGCUAGAUCUGUGACUCGGGACGCCAGGCGGGUCGAAAGUGGUGGCAAGCGGUUGGCUUUACCGAAGGCGGUCCCCACCAAGAGUGUGGUCAACGGAGCCGUUCCGGCGAAGCACUACCUUUUGCAGCAUUUGACCAAUGAUGAUGACCCAGCACGGCGGCGGCGGCGCCAAUCGAUCGACGAGGACCGCAAAGUUAAGCCGAAACGAGAGGUCAAGGGGCGCCUUUCGGAGGAAUCGCACAAUUCGAUGGCCUCGAUUGAGCUUGCGGCGGCCAAAAUUGAGGCAGCGCUGUUGGCCGGCAUUGUACCGAAGACCGAGCCGGGCCACCAAAAGUGCCCCAAGUGUGGCCAGUUGGUGCUGAAUCUGCGGAAGCACAUGGAUCUACACUCGACCAUCGCAAAGUUUCUUUGCGAAAUCUGCGACAAGGCGUUCACCAAACGCUGCAACCUUAAGUACCACAUGAACUUGCACACGGGCGAGAAGCCAUACGAGUGCGGUGCGUGUGGCCUAAGGUUUGCCUGUCCGUCCACACUCUGCACCCACCGGAAACACAACCGCGAAUGUGGCAACAGCUAUCAACGGGGGGUGCGCGCCAGCGUGUUCAAGCACCGGUAGUUAGUUGAUCGAGGAGCCCAUGCGCGCACCAACCAUCCCGAUCGGAAGCAUCCGUGCGAAACGUCACCCGGAAGCAGUUGAGCCGCGGCGGCGCCUGGCAAAUAAUAAAUUAUACCUGAAACGGUGCUUAAUGUUAAUGUUGUCGAACGAAGGGGUCAACAAGGAGAUAUUAGACUAUUAGAUAUUAACUGAUUAUAUAAUUGAUGAACAUAACAUUUUUGCUA